rnacentral:lncRNA from 1 species
CUCGGCGCCGUCCCCGAUGGCCUCUCCCCCGGCCCCGCCCACGGAGGCCCCGACCGCGACCGCGCCCUCCGCAGUGACCCCGACCACCUCAGUCUCCGCCCCGGCCGGCGCCCCCACCGAGACUCCCGCCGGCAACGGCGCCGCCUCCUCCGCCGUCAGCUUCGUCGCCGUCGUCGGCGCGGUCGCCGCCGCCGUCGUGUUCUAGAUGAUGAGAUGCGCCGUCGGAGUGGGUCGUGUCAUGGGAUCUCGUGUUGUUUAUACUGUCAUUCUUUUUGCGAUUCUUUUUUAGAUACUGAUGAUGAUGGAGAGAGAGCAG